AGGACUGAGGGAUAUGCUUAGAAUGAGAAAAAUACUCGAAAAAAACAACCAAUCAAGAAUGAAGAUAAUAGGUUUUUCUUUAACGUUCGCGCAUAAUAAUUCCGCGUCUUUUCAAGGUUACGUUCGUUAAAAGUUAGGUCCUUCAAUCUUUCUUGAUU
rnacentral:sRNA from 22 species